UACGUAGGAUGCAAGCGUUGUCCGGAUUUACUGGGCGUAAAGCGCACGCAGGCGGAUGCGCGCGUGGGGUGUGAAAUCUGGCCGCUUAACGGCCAGGCGCCAUCCCAUACGGCGCGUCUGGAGUGAUGCAGAGGUCGAUGGAAUUGCCGGUGUAGUGGUGAAAUGCGUAGAGAUCGGCAGGAACACCCAGGGGGGAAACCAGUCGACUGGGCAUCUACUGACGCUGAGGUGCGAGAGCGUGGGGAGCGAACCGG
rnacentral:rRNA from 1 species